ACCCUGAUCCGCAUGCCGCGUGUGUGAAGAAGGCCUGCGGGUUGUAAAGCUCUUUCGGCGGGGACGAUGAUGACGGUACCCGCAGAAGAAGCCCCGGCUAACUUCGUGCCAGCAGCCGCGGUAAUACGAAGGGGGCAAGCGUUGUUCGGAAUUACUGGGCGUAAAGGGCGCGCAGGCGGCCGACGUAGUCAGGCGUGAAAGCCCCGGGCUUAACCUGGGAAUUGCGUUUGAUACUGGUUGGCUAGAGUUCGGGAGAGGAUGGUGGAAUUCCCAGUGUAGAGGUGAAAUUCGUAGAUAUUGGGAAGAACACCGGUGGCGAAGGCGGCCAUCUGGACCGCAACUGACGCUGAGGCGCGAAAGCGUGGGGAGCAAACAGGAUUAGAUACCCUGGUAGUCCACGCUGUAAACGAUGUGUGCUAGACGUUGGCGGGCCUAGCCUGUCAGUGUCGCAGCUAACGCGUUAAGCACACCGCCUGGGGAGUACGGCCGCAAGGUUAAAACUCAAAGGAAUUGACGGGG
rnacentral:rRNA from 1 species